rnacentral:rRNA from 1 species
UACGAAGGGGGCUAGCGUUGCUCGGAAUCACUGGGCGUAAAGGGUGCGUAGGCGGGUCUUUAAGUCAGGGGUGAAAUCCUGGAGCUCAACUCCAGAACUGCCUUUGAUACUGAGGAUCUUGAGUUCGGGAGAGGUGAGUGGAACUGCGAGUGUAGAGGUGAAAUUCGUAGAUAUUCGCAAGAACACCAGUGGCGAAGGCGGCUCACUGGCCCUAUACUGACGCUGAGGCACGAAAGCGUGGGGAGCAAACAGGG